AUGAACAAGCUGCUGAGCAUUCUCCUUCAGAAGAGUGAUCCGGCCUUCCCGUGGGGCUUCGAAGUCGUCGGAGGGAAGGACAGGAGCGUCCCGUUGACCAUACAUGUGGUGAAAUCAGGGACCUUGGCGUCACAAUAUCUUCAACCCGGAGAUCGAGUUUUGCAAAUAAACGAAAGAGACAGUGCUCUCUUGGCGGAACACGAGGCUACCCAACUCAUACUUGAACCAUCAAAAUGUUUAGAGCUUCUUAUAUUAAAAUCCUCUACACCCCCUGGCGCAGAGGACAGCAAGAACACUCAACUUCACAAAAUCAGUAAACCCCCAAAAUAUCAAAGCCCUCGGUCCAGUCACGUAUUUGAAGAUAUUAGUGAGGAGGUCUGUACAUCCGAAAAAGCAUUCCGUAGCGAAAACCAACACGUUCAAUCGAAUUACGUCCAACAAGAGCAUUAUGAGCAGCAAGGUGGGAGGCAAAUUCAGAGGGAGUCUUUCUCCAGAGAUGGACAGUGUAAAAACGUCAACACUCGUCAAAAUUUAGAGUUAAAGACGAGUUCGCACAUUAUAGAAAGUGAGAGGACGAGCCAUGCGGCGGAAAGUAACAGUAGCUACUACACCUCUGAAAGUCAAUUGUCCAAAACCCAAAAUUCUCAAGUAAUUCCAAAUAUUCCACCGAGGAGGUACCCGUCCGAGAGGAAAGCAAACGAUGAGAGAGGAAGCAACGACGCCACCCAAACGCACUCAACCGUGGAGCAAUCAGCGCAACAAGCUCGCCACCACCAAACUUACUCAGCAAGUUCGGACUUAAACUCAGACAGCCGAGUCUCACGAAAUAACACUGACUCACAACGCGCACAGGAAUCCACAGCCCCUUGGCGUAACUCAAACAGGCUUCCGGACCAAGCUCCCGCCCAAGAAAACCAUCAGACUAACAAUCGCUCAAACCCAGAAAAUGCCAUCGUUGAGAAUGCCACACAGUAUCAAAAUUCCAAGUCCCAGAAUUUCCAAGCCGCGGAGCUUGAAAGCGGCAGAACUGCAGAGAGCUCGAGUUUCCGGAAGUCGACGGCGAGUUACGAAAAAUGCUCAAAGGUCCAGAGCGCAGAGACAAGGGUAGCCAAGAGCCAAGUUAUCGCUCCAGUGGCGCAGGCCUCCAGGACGGAGCAAUCGGCAACUCCGAUUUCGAGGACGGAGCAAUUGGGGACUCCGAUGUCAAGGACGGAGCAAUCGGGGACUCCGAUCUCGAGACACUCGGUAGCGGACCUGCGGAGCUUCCUGCCCCGCUCGACGUACCCGAAGCUGAAGCAGCCGAAAGACUUCCAGCCGAAGCUGAGCAACUACUACGAGAACUUCAAGCUCCGCUCUGGCGAGCCGCGGGUCCAGCGCAGCAUCUCGGAGCCCUCGGGGUCGCAAGCCCCGAGCCUCUCCUCCACCCCGGACGCUGGAGCCAUGCACCCGGAGCCCAUUCCACCCCGCAACGAAUCCCGCACCCGACUCACCGACCCCUACUCCCAGUUCUUCAACGACAAACGCCGCACCUUCCACGAGGGCGAGACCUUCGCUCCGCUGAGCAAGUCCUUCUUCCGCUCGUCCAACCCCCAGCUGAAUGAGGACAGCAAAAGCAACGACCGGAGCUGGCGAGCAUCCAGCUAUUGUGAAGGCACCGACGACGGAGGAAAGAUACUCGACACUCGGAACUGCCAGACGCUGAAGCGGGACUCUGGAACGCAAGCUCAAACUAAAUCAGCGAAAUACGCUCGUUGUAACUCGAGCAUUCCUUUCUUCCACGAGAACGAUACCAAGAGUCUGAAAAGUCCACCAACAACACGUUCUACUCGACGACCACCACGAAUCUCAAACCGAGAGUGUUUCCGUUCCCUGUUGAGUCGAGCCCAGGAAAUACCAAAGAGUAUGGUAGAGAAGUUGUGGAAACCGCGGAGGAAUACCAGGUGGGCGAGGCCACGAGAGAAGACUGUUUCUCUCCCUAUGAUAAUCUCUCGGAUGGCCACGGAGAGGUUUUUGUGGAAUGAAGAAAUCCACCGACGUGGAGGAGGUGUUUGAGCCCGUCGGAGGUGGCAAGAUAUUCAACCGAGCCACGCAAAGGUGGGAGUUCUCCGCCACUCCGCUCACCUCCGAUCCCACUUCGUCCACCGAGCUGAAUCAAAGCGGAGAUCACAUCGAUAGUAAUGAAAACAUCGGUAACGGGAUAUUCGUAUGGAGAUGCGAUCCUUCAGAGCAAAAGCGAGCAAGAAUAUAGAGCCGAAAAAUCCGUGAGCGGAUCUCGGCGGAGUAUCCAGAUAUCACGAAAGAAAAUGUUCCUCUAAGAACAUUAAAUCGAGCAUCACGAAGUUCUCGGAUGAAAAAAGAAGUGACGGAGCCGCUGUCAUUUUGAAUAACCGCAGAAUCAAUCUGAACGAGAGCAAAACGGAUGACAGUAAAUUGCAUUCGAAUUUGCAAAGUUAUUUAUUUGAGGAAAGCCAGAAAAACCAGCAUGCCAGCCGUCAAAGUACGAACUCUGCAGAGGAGGGAAAUCUAGAAUCAACGAAUUUUGAUGUUUACAUCAACCGUUUCGAUACUUCGGUUAAUUCGGAGGGUUAUUCAAAUAUCAAUCUCAAUCGGUCCUCUGAAUGGAACUCCGAAACAAUUUAAUCAAGAAAACUCAAAUUCUCGACGGGUUGACCCUCAAUAUUCACAGAUUAAAAUCGAAAAUCAAUCUCAAUCAAUAUCGAACAAUAGUCAGGAUGAUGUCUGCUUCAAUGAAAUCAAAUACAACUUGAGUAAAAUUUGUAACGACGGGGCGAGAUACACCACGGCUGCAGAAAAAACGCAAACAGUGAAAAAUGUCAAUUUCGAUAAAUCGCAGCUGAAGAGUGAAGCAAAUAUUUCUCAACAAAAUUACAAAAAUUUAGAACAAGUAAGGACAGAGAAACAAUUUGUGUCCGAUGAGAGAGACUUUUACGCUCAAUCACAAAGUAGAAAGUCAAAUUUACAACGGAACAAUCAUAUAGUGAAAAUAGCUCGAUAGAACAAAGUUCUGUCGCUGAAAGAUCGGUAUAUAAAGAAAAUCAGUUCUAUGAGAACUUUAUGACUGCAGAUCAGCACGACAUAACAAGACAUUUCCAGCAUGUUUUUUCCAACCCUCCUCAAACGGUGGGAAGAAUCUAAAAGAGCCCGCAGCCCUGAAAAAACCAAACCAGUCACUUCGACUCAAACAAUUCGCACUAGCCCCGAAAAGCCGAACCGAUUCAGUCCCGAGAGGACAGCUCAAUUGAAGCCUGCGAACCGAACACUGACAAACAUUCAAGAUACGGCAUUCAAAAAGUCCAGAAAAAGAGCAACCAUAUGAAACCGAACAUGUAUUGCCCCCUCCCGUAAUCCCAAACCUUUCAUCCAAGGAGACCAAAUUCAACAGCCUCGAAAAACCACCGCCGUAUCAACCUGAAAAAGCAUUGCCCCCUUUUCCAACCACGGAUCUCGAGGAUGCUAAGUUCAACAUCGUUGAAACGCCGCAUAUCAACCUGAGAGAGCGCUGCCCCCCAUUCCAGCGACAAGCCAUCGGCCUCCCAUCAAACCAACUGUCAACGAGUAAGUUUCAAUUUUAAUCUUUUACUUUAAUACUUUUACCAAGAAAAAAAAAAAAAAAAAAAAAAAAAAAAAAAACACCUGAGGGGCGGACUAGCUAGAGAAGCAAGGAGGGGACCGGGGGACCGCCUCCCAAGACUCUACUGCGGGUUCCGAAAGGGCAAUUUACCCCCAUUGAUUAUUACUUAUUUCUCCUUAUGUGUAUUAUUUUUAGUUCCCUUUAAUUUUUUAAGACCCCAGAGUUCUUAAAUAGUGUUUUCAAAGAAAUCUGAAAGGGCGCCUAAAGCCUCGAAUUUAGAAUGUACAGAGAGACCUUCGGAGUUUCGGGGGCCUUAAAAUGAUGAGGGUACCAUCGAAGACCAUAAAGUAAAAUUUGCAGAAGUGUCCCAAAUGGGUAAUAUUGGGAAGUAUUAUUAUUGAACCGCUACAGUUAUGAAUAAACUGAGGAAGCGUGGCCGAAUACUGGAGCAACUAUUACUGCUCCUGAGCAGGUCACGUUGCCUAUCGAGAUAUUGAAGGAGAACUGCUCGAGACGAGUGAAAAACAAUACGAGUGGAGAUUAACAUACGGGUGCCACAGGUGAUGCGAAGGUAUUAUGCUACGGGUGAUGCAGGGUUCGCUAAUUUGGAAUUUGGGUCCCUGAGGACUCGCAAUUGAAACAUGUAAAGGUAUUAACGUCGUCCCAAAGGCCUCAAAAGUGACAAAAUCCUCAGAGAGAUCAUUUUUGAUAAAAUGAAAUUGAAGCAGACAUUUUUAAAAUUCGCAGAAGAG
rnacentral:lncRNA from 1 species